GGGAUUGGUAGCUCAGUGGUUAAGGUGUUGGACUACUGAUUGGAAGGUUGUGAGUUCAAAUCCCAACACUGCCA